rnacentral:lncRNA from 1 species
AUUUUGACGUAAUUUCUCUUGAUGUAGCUAGCAGGUGGCAGAGGUGUAUUUGAAUGUCAGCAGCAUUCUGACAGCGAUUAGAAUGUCCUCCGUCUGCUAGUCUUCUUGAUUCUUAAAUUCUGUGGAGCUCAAAUAGACAACAAAGCUUGUGGAACUAAUUAAGUGUUAGCAUAAAUAUCUAGCCUUCAUCAUGUUGAGCUUCCUCAAUAAAUAUUACUCCCUGUUUUUAUAUUUUUAUUUUAUAAAGCAGAAAAGAAAUAUUUAUUUUAUUUUUAUGCCACCACAGUGAAGGUACUUAUGGGUUUUAUGCCACUCGUAUACUCACAAGGGGUUUAGUAUUUUUUAACAUUUUUAUUUUCUUUUCAAGAUAGCAUGAUUAACUAAUAAUCUAUUUAAGGAAAGUAAAUAAUUAAAGGGAAAAGGGAAUGCAGAAAGGAUAAAUAUGGAUAACUACCGACCUUACCUUUCGGCGAUGGUUCAAUGUUUUAAGUCUUCUUAACAAGACUUCUCACCGUGUUCAUUCUUCAGGUGCGUCAUUUGAUUCAGGUGCUUUACUUGGUAGAGUCUGAGAGUUAUAAAACUCCUCCGUGUUUUGCUCGAAGUGUACCUGCUCAUAGAGACAAGGCAGAGAUCAAGUGCAUGGGUCCUGUUGGUGGAAAACACCAACAGAACCUAAAGUGUAUUUGUUCUUCUCCAACCCUAAGCAUAGUGAGCAAGACAAAGUUGAUGGAUGAAAAGUUCAUGAGUGUACCACUUAUAACAUUUGUCAGAUCAGAUCGCUCAACCUUAUGGAAAGAUAAUCUAUCUAUGUAUAUGUCUUUUUCUUUAUAUCUCUCAAUGAUUGAAUGUGUAACAUUUUAGCUCAUAUGAUUAGGAGUGUGGGAUCAUGGAGGUAGUACUAAGA